CGCAUGCGCCCGCCGUCCGCUUGCCGACCUACAGUAGGGGCCUCGGCCCCCAUGGGCACAUGUCGUUGGCUAAGCCGCCGCAGCGGAAGGGUCACGGUGGACGCCACCAAGUACAAUUUCCAUCGAGCGGCGGGUAGAAUCCUUUGCAGAUGACUUAAAUACGCGAUGGGGUAUUGUAAGUGGCAGAGUGGCCUUGCUGCCAUGAUCCACUGAGAUUCAGCCCUUUGUCGCUUCGGUUCGC
rnacentral:ncRNA from 1 species